rnacentral:lncRNA from 1 species
UGAGAAUGAUAGUGUUAUUUUGAUGAUUAACAAGCAUUUAACAAGAGUAUGUUAUAAGUUAAAACGAUACUUCAUUUAUAAGUCUGUUACUCUCAGUAUAUUUGUAUAAAUUGAUAUAGAUACAUUUCAUUGUUUAUAUGAAUGAAUCUAACCUUGAGAUGCAGCAAAGUGUGGAUUGAGUCGACCCAAAGGAUGAUUAGGUCGACCCCG